ACCCGCCAGCCCCGCGCUCUACCAGGCAGAGCGCGUGUGGCCGCCGAGCACAUGGACCCACUGGUCAAGCGGGCUCGGCAAGGCCAGGAUGAAGAGAAGCUACGAACUUAGCAUUCCCAGAGCCCCCCGAGUGGAUAUCCGCGUGGAAAGGAUGUUGGCAGCCCCGGUGACCUCGGAGUCACGGCUGGAUCCACCCUCUUGUCUGAUUUUCUUAACUCUACUACGGUAAGAAGAUGCCCUCCAUCAGCAGGCCGUGUCUGCUGGGACCUCUCUGGAGACUUCCUGAACCCUGUGGAUUUACAGUAAGAUGCAGUUUCCUGGGGAGUAAUUCUGGUGGAUACAAAUUCCGGAGUAUUACACCUGGCUUGCCUGGAGAUGUUACAAGUAGCUGGAUGGAUUCUUCAGCCUGGAUGCCCACUGAAAACAAGGACCGAAACUAAGAGGAUUGUAUCUCUACCCUUGACUCAAUGAGAAUGUUUGUUGUCAUCUCUCGGGCUACCUGGAGCUCCCUCUAAAAUGGGCUGGGACACUGCCUGAUUGAGGUGGCCAUUGAGAAUUCAAGUGUACCUCUUGGUCCCUGAUGCAGAAAUGAAGUCCCCAGCAUGCUCAAGAAGAGCUUCCUUGGAGGAUGAGAGGCAUGGGAAUCUAAGUAUACCCUUUAAGCGUUCCAGAAGGAUUUUGAGAUCCUUUCCUAAAUCAAAGGUGGAAUAUUUGGGGAUUUGGAAAAUUGAGAUGUGAAGCGUUGACUUAAGAGAUGCCAAGUAACUCAGCAGAUGUCACACAGACGAUAAAUAGCAAAGAUGGAAGUCUUCAUGCCGGAGGCAAUCCUAUAAGACAGCUGAGUUCUGCAGAGCUGGUAGGAGACAGACUUGCUCAGGUGAUAGAUCCAGCCAUGAUACUGACCCUAAGAGAAUGAGACGCUCUGCAGAAGACAGAAGAUUCCUGAAACUGGGAAAGGUGCCUAGAAAUCCUGAUAAGAGUGAAGAAGGAGCUGGCAGAGCAGCCUUCCUCCGCACUAUGAAAGACAUCCAACAGAGAGCAAGUUCCCACCUCACUUCCAGCUUGACUCCUUUUUAUCUCCUAACUGUGGUCUGUGAUGUCUUCAGCAAUGGGUACCUGGAGGCACAGCAGCCAUGUUGAACCUAUGAGGUGAUGAAAAACCAUGCAACUAGAAACCAGAAUGGAAGAAAAGAAGAAGCUGGAUCCUUGACUGAAUUGUCGAUGGGGGAUAGUCCAUCAUCCCAGGGCUAAGACCACCUCCAGAUUUCUUGUUUGGUGAAACAAGUCCUGAUUGUUUACAUUCCCUCGUGUUGAGCUGUCUCUUGCUUGUAGCUGAAAGCAUUUCUAAUAGAUAUUCAGAUUAUCAGCCUUAGCUCCAAGCUAGAAUACUCUAUGGGACCUUAGCUUCUCCAUGAAUUCCUUUGCUCAUCUGUGUAAUGCUCAAUAAAUGUAAAUUGAACCCUGAAUGAGGGACAAUGACA
rnacentral:lncRNA from 1 species